GAUGAUGAUCUCAAUUUCACUUGGCCUCUGUUUGAUUCAAAGUUACAUCAUGAGCUGGAGUCAUUUUUGCAUUACAUUGAGAAGACUUGAACUUUGCUUGAGAGUUCAUUUUAGGUUUCUUUUCCUUUCUAUAGUUUAACUUGGGAUGCAUUUUAUUGCCACUUUAUUCAAACCCCUAAUUCUUGCCUAAUAAUGUUUUUAAUCCAUACAUAAGAAACUAACGAAUCAUCACUUGGGUUCUUGCUGAAGUCAAUAUUUGUCUUUGCUGAUUGUGUCAGGAAAAUGUUGAACCUAAACUCCAAUUUGAAGUCAUGUUGCUUAUAUUUAGAAUUGUAAUUAGACUCCUGUCUUUGGCUCAUCAUACUUUCCAGAAUGCUACUGGAAUUCUACACUCCUGCAUAUCAUUGCUGUAUACCAUUUGGAACACCAUUUUGAUGAAAAGAUGUACUUCCGUGCUGAAAUCAUAUAUGUUUUUAGUCAUGUUAGGUGAUAUCAUUCCUAGCUUUGGUUGGUGAUAUUUUUUAUUCCAGAAUGCUUCUGCAUCCUUUUAGCUGUGAAGUUCAUUCCCACCAUGAAUCUGAAGCAUCCGUAGAUUUGCGUUAUAUGAUUCUUUUUUAACGACUUUUGCAGGCUUAGUGGGCAUGUUACUUGCACGCGUUGCUCGAACAGUUUUUAUAACAGGUGCAGUGAUGUUCUUAUUGAGUUUAUAGAGAAGAUUUAUGUUUUUUUUUUUUGGGUUAAUUAAAGCUAAUUUUGCAUUGCUUAUACUGCCAGUCUCAUGAAGCCUUAAGAGUCAUUUUUGACAGACCAUGGUGAAGAAAUACUUGACAACUGUGCUAAGAACGUUCAUUUAAAUGCUGCAAUUUUCCAUCCUCGUGCUUCGGUUUAUGUUCGUGAACUCGAUUGGAAUUGUUCAUGGCAGCCUCAAGUAAUAGAAGAUUUAGAGUCCAAAGAGAGGUAAUUGUGUUCAGUGAAUUGAUGAAUUCCAGAUAAUUUAAUUCCAGAUGAAUUCAGUAACUUCGUUAUCCUUUUCAUUCAUCAAACUAUCAAACUUUAUUUUAUGCUGGGAAUUUUGUCCAGCUAUAUUUGGAACAAAACAGAGGUUGAAGAAUUCUGGAAAGCUUCUUUCAUUGUAGCUGCUGAUGUUAUCUACAGUAACGACCUAACUGAUGCAUUAUUCAGUACUUUACACAGAAUGAUGUCGAAGUGUCCAGAAAAGGUAUCAGCAUCAAAGUUGGAAUAACAGUUAGGAUUAAAUUGUAGGGCCUUAAUUGACCUUUCAUCAGUCACAGUGAUCUAUGAAUGGUAAAAGUCCCACUUUUGCAAUUUGAUUAGUUCAAGUAUCUCUCUUAUCUCAGGUUCUGUACUUGGCACUAGAGAAGCGCUAUAACUUCAGUAUCGAUGAUCUGGAUGUUGUGGCGAAUGGUUAUUCGCAUUUUCGAAGCUAUCUUAGGGAGGGAGGUGAGCAGUAAGCAAUGCAAUGAAUACCCAAUGAAUUUUUCUCUUACGUAUAAAAAUAGUUUUUAGCUGCUAUAUUUGAAUGUGGAUAGUUUCAAUGAUGAUGCAGAUAGUGAUGGUGAUCUUGAAAGUGGAUCCUUGCAUAGCUUUCUGGGCAAGCGCGUUGAUCUCGCAGAGAUUCCUCAAUAUGUGAGAGAUUAUGAGAGAGGAAAUGAUGUUGAGUUGUGGCAGAUCAUGUAUGGAGAGAGGAAACAGUAGUGUCAUUUUGGAUUAGGCUUGUUAAAUUGUGUCUGUGGAGAUCACAUAUGCUUGAUCGAGAUUUUUGAAGUUUCUGAUUGAGCUUAUCAGCUCCUAUGGCUUUUCUUUUGUGCUGUCACUUGCCAUCCUUUGCAACUCAGAUUCCCCGGAUUUAUGGAAAGCACAUGGCUUAAACCUGAAAUUGCAAUCCAUCUCCAGUGUCUCGAAUGGAACCUAACAACAUGGAUGAGUUUUUUUUUUUUUUUUGGGUUGGGGUUGAGCUAAAUCCACACCCAUAAUGCAUUAAUGACUUGUACUAUGAACAUUCAGGAGUUUGGAUUUAAUGUCACCCCUUUUACUCCCCUUUUUAAUAGUAGAGGAGGAGACUUGUGGGUCCAUUUGCUGGUGUAAAAUAUCAUAAUAUAAUAAAAGAAUCAAUUAAAAAUAAAAAAGCCUCGAAUUUCAAUUAGAAAUUCGUUGGCUCUUUAGGAUCUGCCCCCUUCAAUUGCGAAUUUUUUUUUCCAGUAAAAGAGAGUAUGUCGAUUAGUUCGUCUCUGGACUCGAUCCUGAGUUGAUCUUUCGACACAUGGGUUGAACCAUGAAUGGAAACAUAAGCCUUCUUACCAGUACACUUUUUGGGUAAGGCCAUACAACAUCAGUUGGCAGGUGACUUGGCUCAUGUUCCUAUUGAUUAAAUUGGAUUUUAAAAGCAAAAAUUCUUUUAAUGCAUAAGGGAUAUUAAUGUUUAACGCUUAAAUGAGUACUUAUUUGAUUUCGUUAUGUGAUUAACAUUUAUUUGGAUUGCCUCUCGAAAACACUAUUGUUAAUAAAAACUUUAUUGCGUUAAUCAACUACCAUUUUAUUUUACGUGCACAAUUGUCAAUAAAGUUGCUACAAAAACACUUUCCUGGGAACACCCGGAAAGGCAUCCAUUCAUACAUAGCCUUCCUUUUAGUUAUUUUAAAAGAACAUCAUUUGAUGGGGUAUUAUCGAGAUUUUUUUUAGAAUGUGUUAAAGGUGAUUUUAAGAAUGAUCUCGAAUUUAUCCAAAAAUAAUUUGAAUAGUUAUGAAAAAGUUGUGAAAAAUAAUAGGACGAGAACGGUAUUGUCAAUAAAGUUGCUACAAAAACACUUUCCUGGGAACACCCGGAAAGGCAUCCAUUCAUACAUAGCCUUCCUUUUAGUUAUUUUACAAGAACAUCAUUUGAUGGGGUAUUAUCGAGAUUUUUUUUAGAAUGUGUUAAAGGUGAUUUUAAGAAUGAUCUCGAAUUUAUCCAAAAAUAAUUUGAAUAGUUAUGAAAAAGUUGUGAAAAGUAAUAGGACGAGAACUGUGCAAAGAGAAAGAGGAAGAGCAAUCUGCAUUAGAGGGGAAAUAUAGGUGUGGACCUAGGAAGGGAAAGAGAAAGAAAAGAGACAUUUAGCAAUCCACAUUAGAAUCCUUGAAGAACAAUUCCUUAUACUAUAUAAGAUUGAUUUUUUGUCAAAGAAUAGGUUGAAUUUCAACCGCAUAGGUGGGGGUUUUCUAGAAAUGUGAAUUGUUAUGUAUUAAUUUAAAAGAUUUAGGUACAACUUAACGAGGUAUGUAUUUGGGUAUGUUUACUGAAAUGAUCUCAUUUUAAUACAUUUAAAGUUGUCAUUACUGAGCCAUCUUGAUAUUGAUGAAAUGUGUAAUGAGUGUGCAACCGUUUUUGCAUUUUAUACAACCCAUAUAUGCUUAUGUGCUGGUAUAAUUACCGAAAUAUCCCUUAACUAUCAAUAAUUCUCCAUUUUAAUACAUUUAAGGUUGUCAUUGAUGAGUCAUGUGGGUAUUGAUGGAAUGUGUAAUUAGUAUGCAACUGUUUUUGCAUUUUGUAUAACCCAUAUAUAUUUGUGUGUUGGUGUAAUUACCGGAAUAUCCCUUAACUACCAAUUAUUCCCCUUUUUAGCCGCAGAUAACCGUUUGAAAUGUUGCUUUGUCUGAAACGUUUUAAUGGUUGGCGAACUGUUAUGAAUGUUAAUGGUUUGGUUGGCACCCAUUGAAAUGUUGCUUUGUCUGAAACGUUUCAAUGGUUGCCGAACUAUUAUGAAUGUUAAUGGUUUGGUCGGCACCCAUUUCUCUAUCAUUUAUAAUUUGCAUUUAUGAGUCACAAAUGUUGUUCAGUUUAUCCCCUUUCAACUUCAGGGAUUAAGUUUUUCCUUUUUGCCUUUGUUUACAACGAUCUGACUCAUCUUUUUCUCUUUCAUCCGAACUCAACUCUGAAAUUAUCUAUUAUUUCAUAAUUAAUUACACCCCAAUUCAAUUGCCGAACCGUUGGUAUGUUAAUGCCCAAACGGUUGAUUAUCAGUUUCUUCCUGUUCGCAUUCUGGGAUUGGGAUAAUUCUUCUUGGUUUCAUACUAAUCAGCUCAGAAUGCUCUUCAAUCGCAGCUACUCAUGGUGGUUUAGCUUGAGGUUAGAUUCCGCCCCCUCCCCAAUUUUUCAGUUCAUUCCUUAAUUUUAUCGUGUGUUCUUAAUACCUGCAAUUAGUGACUUUUAUCGCGUUGCUAGCUGCAAGAUAGCAUUUUUUUCAUAGAUUCGGUUGCCCUCUGUAAUUUGAUUGGGUUGAUUAUAAUCUUAUAGGUUUGGAGCAACAGCAAGAAAGAGCUCUCGGUGGGGAUUCUGGAAUAAGGUUAGUUUUCUGUGUUGCUCAUCCUUUCUGUAUUAUCACCGACUUUCAAUUUGACACCGUUUUAUUGUAACGUUGUGUGAAUUGAUUGAUUAUAUCGUUUAUUGUUGAUUUGGGUGUGAAGUGUUCACUUCACUUACUGCUAAAUGUGUUCUUUAUUUUAUAUUGUAUGAGAACAAAUUUUUAUGCUGUAUUCCAUGCCCGAAAUUGCUAUAAAGUUAAUGACAACUUAAUCUAUAAUGAGAAGAAGUAAUAUGGGACUUGCAUUCACUAAUCUGUCAAAUGCAAGCUGGUCAAAGGUACCGAUUAAACAUGGGACCACAUCAAAAUGGAUUAGCAGUGCUACAAGCGUACACAGUAACGGAGCACUUGAGAGAUCUCCAGGAACUCAACUCUCGAAGAGCUCACUGUCAUAUCAAAGUACACAACCAACUAUGUAACCACAUCAACAUCCUGAAAUUCUGGCAGUGUAAUAAGCGUAGCUGAAAUAGCAGAAAAAUCAGACUUUAUCUCUUAAGGAAAGGCAAUAGAUGUCACAGUGACAGAAAUGGAGACAAGGAAAAGAGUCGACCCAACCAAUUUGGACACCUCAUCUUCUACAAAGUCCAGUGAAGGAACCAGUGGUGCAACACCUGCACAACAAAAUGAAGGAAUCGCCAAGAAGCAACACAACUGAGUACUUAAGGCUGCCUAUUAAAGUAUUUAAAUUAGUCUACUACUAUUACUAUCACUAAAUAAGGGACUGCAUGGUGUCAGGAUUAUAACUAUUACUCUCUUUGUUUUCAACAAUCUUUGACUAUUACUAAUGUUCUCGUUUGACUACUUUAUGGACUACUUUGUGGACUAUUUUUUUUUGCAAUAGUAACUGCUUCUUAUUAUUUAAUGGCUAUUUCUUCUCAUAAUGUACUAUUGUUUGUUCAACAAAAAAACCUCCUUCCCCACAAGCACGACACUCCCCCUAGUUUUGAAAAUGAAUUUGGGUUUGCUUAAACAGUGUGUCUUUUGAGUGUCUGUUUAAAAUUUUACUAUUAGAAAAAAUGUUGGUAUUCAUCUAAAAUAUUUAAAACUUUCUAUCCUUUCGAAAAAAACCUAGAAUUUGUUUUUCUAGAACAGGCUAUCCAAAAUACCUAGUUAUCCGGGCCAUUACAUUGUCUAAUCGCACCAAAGAAAACUUUUUUUAACAAUCUUGUCUACACAACAAGCCCACUAGCCCAAUGCCAAAACCCGUUCUACUCCAACCCAACCCAACCCAAUGGUCACCUCCCCUCUCCUCCCAAAAACAACGACCACUCCCCUGCCUUUGCCCAAAGGAAGUAUCGGUCGCUCUUGUCCUUCUCUGCCAUCCACUUGCUGUUCUUCAGGGGUUUUUGAGGUGACAAAUUUCGGCUAAAGAUUGGUAUGCACAUUAGUUUCUUACCAUUUUUGGUAUAUUUUUUCUUACAUUGAUUCUGUCCAGUGUAUUUUACUUAUCGAUUGGGAUUUUUGGGAUAUUGGCAUUGUCUUUUCAUUAAUUUUCUAAUCGUAGCAGAGCAGAAAAGCUUUGUGAUUUGGUCCUAAGCUGAAAAGGGUCGUCCCGGACGAUUAGGCUGGGGCGACUCACACGGAAUUUUUGGAAUCCGGGCGGGUUGUCACCAGUUCUGGAGUGUACUCCUAGACGAGUUUUUCCUCAUAAAAUUUAGGUUAGAAGCUAAAAAUGGAAAUCGUAUUGAAUGGUAGUGUUUGAUUGGUUUUGUUGGACUGCAAGUGAAGCCUCCCGGGACCCUCAUUUAGUUUCCUGUUUGAAGCCCAGUCACCUGCCAUAUCCAUACGAAUUUGAGAAUCUGAACAUAUUUGUGCACUGAGUAACAGAAUGCAUGAAGCUGCAUAGAUGGCCUUCUGGUUUUUCUCAAUGAUGUUGACGUUGCUUUUUUAGGGUACAUUGAAAAUGCCCGGAGACGUUGAGAUGAAAGAGCAACCAGCCCCUUCAAAUUCUGUCACCUCCACUGGCCCAUCCACUCUGCAGCGUAAUUCUUUCUGUUCUCAUACCUUUUUACUGUCUGGCGUUCACAUAGGUAAGUUUGGGCUUUAACCAGUCCUGAUUCAAUACAAAAUCUGUGGGUUGUAGACUUGAAAGAGAUAGCAUCACUUAUCGAGACCGGUACAUAUGCCCGGGAGAUUCGGAGAAUAGUGAGGGCUGUCCGGCUAACUAUUGCUUUGAGGAAGAAGUUGACGGCAUCAGUGAUUUCUGCGUUCUUGACUUAUGCCCUCACACAUGGAUCCGAGGUGCAUACACGGUUGUCCUCAUACAUUCCCAAGGUAAGAAAAUAGGAAGUCAUCUUUAAAUUUGGUUCAUAUUUUGAAUUUCAGUUUUUCGCUUGUUGAUUUUUUUUAAAGUAAAUUUUUGCUUUUGUUGUUUGUUCAGUGCUUUUUUGUGCAUGAACUGGCAGUUAUAGCAUGUCAGUUUGUUGCUGAAGGAAGAAUAUUCGGUUUGAACGUGACUAGAUUCUAUUGUGUGCCAUCUCAUCAGUGGGGUGGGGCACUUUGCUUCUAAACUAUUGCUGGAGUUUGGACGAAUUGCAUCUUACAGUUAUCAUUGUCACUUUGACCUCAUUUUUUUAUAAAUCUAGCAAAAUUAGAUAGGGCUGUUUGGUCUGUGGACAUAAGAUAUGUGUCAUCACAUGCUAAAUCAAUCUUGGAUGUCAAAUGCUAGUUGCAUCAUCUGUUCAUAUGAGCUUUUAUGUGAAGCUGGAGACUCUAGCUAUCCCACUAAUUGAGCUUGUGAUUAUCAUUGUCUCUAUUGAUCACCAUUAAGACGUAUUCUGUUACUUUUAGCUAUGGUUUUCUCAAAAUGUGGCAACUAUUUUUUUCAGUGCUUUUAGGUCUAUGAAUAGUUGGGAAGAGUUGAAUAUAGGGUGCAGCGUGCAAAGUAGUCGUUGGAAGUGCAAAGUGUUGGUGAAAUUAAUGUAGAGGAUGCAAGAAAAAGCAUUUCCUUUACUCAUAUAUGGUGACUUCUUUGGUUUCAUCUUCUUUAUCAACUUGAGAAAAUAAAGCUUAAAAUAAAUCAAGUUAAUAUGCCCAUAUUCUGAUUCUGCAUUCCUCUGAGAGGAAGGUUAGCUAAGUUUUACUAUUACUAGUAGCGCAUUCAUGCGUUAUAUUCCGAAUAUCAAAUUACUAAGCUGGUUCCUUCACUUUUCUCAUUACACGUCCAAUUUCUGUUAUUUUGCUACUUUUCAUAUAACUUUUACUGCAUAAAUUGUGUCUCCGUUUAUAUUUCGUGUAACAUCACAGCAAUGGAAUUGACAUCAGUAUUCAAGCAACCAGACAUGGGAAUGAUGUAGUUAAAGGUGGUUUAAGGGCAUUAGAUAAAGCAUUGAUCAUAUAGUGUAUUAAUCAUGUUGUGGAAUUUGUGGAAAUGAAUUUUGAAAUAUCGUCUAAACAAUAGGAAAAGAUUUAAGGGAAUGACACUCUGUGUACAAACCCUUAUCCAGGAUUUUGGCAGAAAUUUUAUAUUCAACAAAUUGAACCAGUAGUAAUUGGUUUGUCUUCAGUGCCUUCCUGUUAGUGCACUUGUUUUAUUCCAAUUGUAUUGUCAAACAAAUAUGGUAGCCUUUUGAAAUCUGCAGCUUGACAAAGUUGAUGGUUUUUUACAGGAUGAUGAGCAUGAAAUGGAAGUUGAUACGGCAACAUCUGCAGUGCAAUCCCCUGCAAAGCAUUCUCUGCCAGAGCUGGAGAUUUAUUCUUAUUUGCUUGUCCUCAUAUUUCUCAUUGAUCAGAAGAGAUACAAUGAGGUAUGGUUUACAUCACCUUCGCAUGCUUGCACACUCUGAUAUAGUUCUUCAUGUAUGAAACUGCUUUCUCUCGUUCUUCUCAGGCUAAAGUAUGCGCCUCAGCAGGCAUUGCACGUUUGAAGAACCUCAAUAGGCGAACUCUUGAUGUUUUAACAUCCAGGCUCUACUUUUAUUACUCUUUGAGCUAUGAACUUACCAGUGAUCUUGCUGAAAUUCGUGGGUGAGUUCUAUAUUACUUGCCAUUUCUUAUAUCUGAUGCCUCAUAAUGAUAAUUUGUAUAAAUGGUUCACAAGCAUACAACAGCUAUAUUGUGGGUGCUUAUUUUUAUUUUUAUUUUUUUUUGGCACUGUCUUUCUGUGCACGUGUGUGUUCUUGUGCUUGUGCAUGUGCUUUACUUGUGUAUCCUUUCCUUCCAAAACUUUACCUAAUAAACUUUAAUUCGCAGAAAUCUGCUUGCUCUGCAUCGGAUUGCAACACUUCGCCAUGAUGAGCUGGGUCAGGUUUGUAACCUGAAAAACAUGGCUAUGGUUUUAGUGGCAGCUUUCAUCAUAUAUUCAUACUUAGCAGCUCAUUGAUGCAGGAAACACUUCUCAAUCUGCUGCUUCGGAAUUACCUCCACUAUAAUUUAUAUGACCAAGCAGAGAAAUUGAGGUCAAAAGCACCCCGUUUUGAAGCUCAUUCAAAUCAACAGGUAAAUCUAAUAAAUUUCUUAGUUUCCUCCAUUACAGAAUCUUCCCUUAUGCAUGGGAUAUUUUAUCCCUUUUGGGACUUCUUGACUUUUCUGCACAAAAGGAGUGGUAGGAUCUACUAAUUAAAUUGGGUUAAUUACUUUUACCUCCCCUCAGGUUUGGCCAGUGACAGGUUGAACCCUGACCUUUGGCCAAAUUACAAGUAGCCCUUGUCCUGGAUGGAGGAUUGCUGGUUUGGCAUUGUUCAAAGGACUUUAACAACCUCAAGAUUUAUUUGAACUGAAAAAAAAACGAAGAAGGAAAAAGAUAAGAGUGCAAAUUAAGAAAAAGAUCAAGUCUUCUGCUAUGUGUAAAGCACUUACCAUGGAUGUCGAGUAUCCCUUCCAUUGUGCCAGACCCAACCCCUCCCAAAACCAGUGGCCAAUCUGCUAUCUUCCAAUGUAGAUGCCUUCUAUUUACUAUAUUGCUCCUUUUCCCAACCUACCCUUCCGUCUUCCCAAAAAAGAAGAAAAUAAAAACUUCUACAAUCAAACUCACCACUUGCUCAACAUCUCUACAGAAGCACCAAAGCAUCCCACUCUGUCAUGGCCUCCUGCUUCUACAUUCACACCACCAAGAUUGUUUUUUCUUUGGGGGGUGGGAGGGUUGGGAUCUUUGACAUAUAUUAAACCCCUACAGUUCAGGGGGAGUUUUGUUGAGGAAAAUUAUGAAGUCUGGAGGUAUUUAUAGAAAAACAAUCCUGUGGAGUUAUAAUAGAACAAAAUGGGACAGCAUUUACAUGGCAAAAGUGAUGCAAAAACGUGUUUCCCAAGGCUAUUCAAAUUCAGAGAAUCUAGGAAGGAACUUUGACUUGGAACUACAAACACACUCUUUUAUCCAUGUAAAACUUGGGAACAAAGUGGGAGAAAAGCCAAUCAUUAUCUUAUCAGGUUGGCAGACCCAAUAAAACUUCAUGCAUUUUUCAACUUUACCGCUGCGCAUUUACGAGGGGUUUAAUGUUGAUUUCCGGAUUUGAGCUUGUCAAGUUAUAUUAGGGUACUUUGCUAUGGUGUUUGGCAUGGUAGUUGGCCUGUUAACACUUGCAAGUGGUGCUGUAUGUAGAGGAGCAAGGGGACUCGUGAGUCGAUUUUCUAAGUGGGGCCCGUGGAGGGAGGUUGAGAGAUGGUACUGAAGAUUGGGUUGGAGAUAUUGGAUUUGUGGAUGGGAGGUGGCUGUGGAAGGAUUGAAUGGAUCCCUAACGGAAGAAUUUUAUUAUUUUAUAAAUUUUGGGACUCAAUAAGGGCAUUGUGGGCACUUCUUGUUUGUUUUUUGCUGAACUCAGCAACAUUUCUGAUGUCCUUUAAUAACGGGGUAAUUGGAGAAACAUCUUUCUAGUCCAAGGGUUACUUGUACUUUGGCCUGAUCUUGGCAUUCGAUCUGUAAUUUGGCAAAUCCUGAGGGAAGGUAAUUGUAAUUAACCCAUUGUAUUAUGACAGUUUUUUCCAACAAAACUAUAAUUGACUGGAAGAAACUGGAAUCUGUGGAAUUUGGCUUGUGUUAGGAUAUU
rnacentral:lncRNA from 1 species